AAAUCCCUGCAGUGUUCGUGGGCAUCGGGUAAGUUAUGAGCCAACACCGAAAUAUUGGGAGCCGGAUUUUAACUGUGGAUUGCAGACCUCUUUCAUUUAUUGGAUCAGAGGAAGCGUGAAACAGUUAAUAGGCGCCCACCUGUAAUUAGACAGGUUCAUGAUAAGCUUUAUGUUACGGCACAGGCGGGGAUUUU
rnacentral:other from 1 species